rnacentral:pre_miRNA from 1 species
UCUUAUGCGUGAGCAAAGAAAGUGGUUUCUUGAGAUAGAAUCUACGCCUGGUGAAGAUGCUGUGAA